CUUCAGGGCUGGCAGUGUGCGUGUUUAUUUCUUUUGCUCAGUUUUGUUUGAAACCUUGGAUGAUAGUUUUGUGACGGAGAGUGGAAUCAUCACUCUCUAGCAUUAUCAUCAUCAUCAUCAUCGUCACCUUCAGCAGUAGCAGCAGCAGGUUCCCGAUGAAGGUUAAAAAGUAGCAACUGCAAAACUCUCAAGAGCAACGGUUCAACUGCUACCAACCACCAACCACGUCUCCAUUCGCUUGCCCAGCCCGCGACACUUUCGACGAACUGACCACUGACUGACUCCCCAAACCCGCCUUAUUGCACCCUCCCCCCUUCACCGGCAAAGUGCAAAAGUGUCGAAAGUGAAGCAGCAAAGCCAUCUCGCCAGCAAAGCGCAAGUGAAACAAACGAACGAGUGAAGACGACGGUGCUGACGGCCCACAGGUAGUAGAGGGAAAAGUUAAAAGUCUGUGAUUAAAUUCAAUUAGUGCGGCAAGCAAAAAACCUUCCGCGCGCCGCGCUCCACAUUUGCUACAAUAAAGUGUCAUCGCAUCAUUGCAUCCGCUGCAAGAAAGGAAAAUCUAAAGCCGCGGGUGCAUACUGUCA